rnacentral:rRNA from 1 species
GAUGAACGCUGGCGGCGUGCCUAAUACAUGCAAGUCGAGCGAACAGACGAGGAUCUUGCUCCUCUGACGUUAGCGGCGGGCGGGUGAGUAACACGUGGAUAACCUACCUAUAAGAAUGGGAUAACUUCUGGAAACCGGAGCUAGUACCGGAUAAUAUAUUGAACCGCAGGGUUGAAUAGUGAAAGACGGUUUUGCUGUCACUGAUAUAUGGAUCCGCGCCGCAGUAGCUAGUUGGUAAGGUAACGGCUUACCAAGGCAACGAUGCGUAGCCGACCUGAGAGGGUGAUCGGCCACACUGGAACUGAGACACGGUCCAGACUCCGACGGGAGGCAGCAGUAGGGAAUCUUGCGAGAUGGGCGAAAGCCUGACGGAGCAAUGCCGCGUGAGUGAUGAAGGUCUUCGGAUCGUAAAACUCUGUUAUUAGGGAAGAAGAAAUGUGUAAGUAACUAUGCACGUCUUGACGGUACCUAAUCAGAAAGCAACGGCUAACUCCGUG